UGAACGACGGUAACUUCAUAAAAACCCAAACAACCAAGUCUUCAAAAAAUAAUUUAACUGGAUCAUAUAGCUGUGGAACAAAUUUUUUCAAAAACCAGAAAAUUAAAAAAAUGUGGGUGCAAACACUGAGAACAGUGCUUGCAGUCUCCCAUCACAUACCACUUAGCAGUCCAUUGGCAUAUGCCAUUGGGCGAAUGUUAGGAUGGGGAACGGCUUCAAAUUGGUGGAAAUCCAACUCCAUGUCUUCCUUAACUUUAAUUACGGCACCAAGAUUUCCGGUACUAUCACAAUAAUUAGGAGCACUAAACACAGUAAUACAAUAACCAUCGUGCUCAACUUCGUAGCCUUGAUCUCUGACUUCAUGAGAACGGAUCACUGCUUUAAGACCAUUAGCCUCGCAAAAACGUUUUGAAACAUCAGGGCCGAAUUGUAAACCCACCCCACGUUUCGAUGGUCCUCGUCCUGGAGCAGGUUGUGGAUCGGUCCAAAGCAUUUCCAUCAUUAACCCAGAUUGUCCAGGUUGCUUUUUACUAAAUCUAUCAAUGUUUCGUAGUUGGUCUAAUGUUACGUUAUCAUCAGAAAAUAGGCCACCAUGUACAACAAGAUAAGAAUCGGAAAUUAGGGAACCAAGAGGUAGCAGAGAAAAAGUUUCCGAGAAAAUAUUAAAUGUCCUCUCAUUAUACUUACUACGACAUUCACCUUCGAAUCCGUAGACUUUGUUCAUAUCGUCAGUUUCGUGAUUACCGCGAUUGAUGAAAACAGCGUCCGGAUAUAAUAACUUAUAUGCAUAAAGAGUAAAAGCGACUUCAGUGGACCACGAACCACGAUCGACAAAGUCACCAUUGAAUAAAUAUUUGUUAGUAGGGCUUGGAGGACCAUGAAGUUUGAAAAUG